rnacentral:rRNA from 1 species
UACGGGGGGUGCGAGCGUUGUCCGGAAUCACUGGGCGUAAAGGGCGCGUAGGUGGUUUGAUAAGGGUGUGGUGAAAGUCCGGGGCUCAACCCCGGAUCUGCCGUGCCGACUGUCAAACUCGAGGGCUGUAGAGGCAGACGGAAUUCCGGGUGUAGCGGUGGAAUGCGUAGAGAGUCCGGAGGAAGACCGGUGGCGAAGGCAGUCUGCUGGGCAGUUUCUGACACUGAUGCGCGACAGCGUGGGGGAGCAAACAGGG